rfam:Solirubrobacterales bacterium 70-9 SCNpilot_bf_inoc_scaffold_2522, whole genome shotgun sequence.
CGGGGCGUGGCGCAGCCUGGUAGCGCGCCGCCUUUGGGUGGCGGAGGUCCCCGGUUCGAAUCCGGGCGCCCCGA